AGAGUUUGAUCAUGGCUCAGAAUCAACGCUGGCGGCGCGCUUAACACAUGCAAGUCGAGCGAGAAAGUGGGGCAACCCAUGAGUACAGCGGCGUACGGGUGAGUAACACGUGGGUAAUCUACCUCUGAGUGGGGAAUAACCCUGGGAAACCGGGGCUAAUACCGCAUAAGCCUGAGAAGGGAAAGCAGCAAUGCGCUGGG
rnacentral:rRNA from 1 species